GUGGGGAAUCUUAGACAAUGGGGGAAACCCUGAUCUAGCCAUGCCGCGUGAUCGAUGAAGGCCUUAGGGUUGUAAAGAUCUUUCAGGUGGGAAGAUAAUGACUGUACCACCAGAAGAAGCCCCGGCUAACUCCGUGCCAGCAGCCGCGGUAAUACGGAGGGGGCUAGCGUUGUUCGGAAUUACUGGGCGUAAAGCGCAGGUAGGCGGAUUGGAAAGUUGGGGGUGAAAUCCCGGGGCUCAACCCCGGGACUGCCUUCAAAACUCCCAGUCUUGAGUUCGAGAGAGGUGAGUGGAAUUCCGAGUGUAGAGGUGAAAUUCGUAGAUAUUCGGAGGAACACCAGUGGCGAAGGCGGCUCACUGGCUCGAUACUGACGCUGAGGUGCGAAAGCGUGGGGAGCAAACAGGAUUAGAAACCCGAGUAGUCC
rnacentral:rRNA from 1 species